UUAUUUCCAGGGCUAUAGAUCAAACAAGUAUGCCUGAAAAUUCAUUAUACAUGCAGUGUGCACUAAAUAAUUAUUCCUGCCCAUGAAAGUGCUGGAGGAGAGACUAUGACAAGGUAUAGCUUUAAAAAAGCUGCUUGAUUUAUCAUUUAUAAAGCAAAGUUCAUAUCGGAUGUGCUAGUUAAAUAUUCAGCAAAUAAUCAGUCACUUGAAUAGCCCAGGUGCAGGAGGAAAGCCCACCAAGGAUGGUGCCCUCUCUUAUUUGACCUUAUUUUCAAUCUGGGCCUGAACAAAGCUCCUCUCCCUGGGCUCACUUUCUUGCAAUCAUCCUUGCAUUUAUUCCUACUGCCCCCACACACCUUUUUCUGGGUGAAUUUUGCCUUCAGUGUAUUUGGAAAUUGCAACUUGUUUUCACAGCUUUAUCUGCAAACUGAGAUGUCCUGAGGAUAUUUCUUGUGUCUGUCAGAUGGAGUUCUCCACUCUGCUACUCUUCUAUCAGGUACCAUUUUGUGGAAAAAAUGAUAGAUGUCUGGAAUAUGACAGGAGAGUGAGAAAUAAAUGAAGAAAGGUGAAGGAAAAUCAAAAAGGAUCAAAACUCAGAGCUGUUAAAUCCUUCACAUGACAAUGCUUGAUAAAUAUUGGAAAAACCUGAAAACAAAUCUCCAGCGUAAUUUACGAAUAGGAAGGGGAAAAAAACCUGUUCUGUUCACCUGGUAUUUGCCCUCUGGGUCCUCAUUCACGUGGCUGGCUGGGCUGACCCUGAGCAGGCAGGAGGAGGACCAGGAGCAGGCCCUCAUCGGAGGCUGCUCCAGAUACCCUGUUAUUUUGGCAAGUGCCAUUCCUGACCCUGCAGUGUGCUGAGGUUGCACAGAGCACAAGGUAAGGACUUGAAUUUAGGUUUUCCAAGCCUAGGGUCUGAGUUAAACACUAAUCAGAUAUGAAAAUCCUUGUUCUUGAGAGCUGUGCUCUUGCCAGCGGCCACCUGGACACAGCCCGUGUCCAGCUUGGAUGCUCUGCUUGAAGCAGGAGGAGUUGUAGCUGGUUCUGCUGGUUCUGCCCAUGGUGAAGUGACCCUUCAUUGCACUCUGGUGGGACAUCUGGCUGAAUCCUGAUGGAGGCAAAGUCAGCACGAACGUCACGACCUAGGAUGAAUCCUCUUGGUGAUUAAUCCUGUGUUCGGGGAUGAACUGCAGUUCAUCAAUCUUGUUAACCAUGGGUGUGCUGAGCGAGGGGAAGGCAGUGGGCUUGAUGGAUGGCUCAUCAUGCUACGGAGUAAGUGGAUAACUAAUAGGUAAGCAGCACAGUUUUGGCUGGAGUGUGGCUGCUGGGAUGGGGGGAGUGGCUGCAUCCAUCUGCUCAGGAACGCUGCCGGUACCUUGUGACAUAGGCCUUUGGGCACACGCUGCUACCAAAUGGUUGCAACUGCUUGUGAAUAGCUUGCUGGGCAGAUCACCGUAGGCAGUUCGUCAGAAGACCACAGCAGUACCUCUUAGAAAUUCACCCUCUAGAGCACAGUGUUUGACAAGAUGCACAUGGUUACUCUGCAUACGCAUGAGAAACAAGCAAUCAAGCGUGCUAACAACCAGCAUCAUUAAUUACCAGGCAUUUCCCUCAGUUGCUUCUGACCUCUGGUCACAGCUGCUGAAACUGUUCUUGUGCAACAAUUGCAUUCAGAGGCUCAGAACAUUCCCAUCCUUUCAUUUGGUGUGUAAAAGGGGGAUGACAAUAUGCAGCCCCACAGGGAAAUUCUAAAGCUUGACUAAUUAUCUGCAAGUGACCAUGAAAUUCCCAGCUGCAACACACUCUGCAAGUGUGAGGUGCUGCUUACAAUGCUUUAAGACUGGUGUUGGUUUCAUCCAUGGUUCUUCAUGAUGGAAUCUGCUCUCCCUCUGAAGGUCCAAAGUGAAAAGCCUCUAGAUGAUGAAUUUCAGAACUGCAAGGCAAAAACGAAACCCUGAGCUGGAGCCCCUGAUAAAGUUGUCCAGGAGGAACGUUCCCUCUCCUGCUUCCAUUUAUUGGGCAAGUAUUACAAUGGAAUAUGCUCAUAGAAUUAAAUAUAUAUUUGAACUUGUCUUUUCGUGUACUUACGGGUGACAAAUUAAUUUAAAUAUUAUUUAUUCUGUGAUUUUCAGUAAUUCAUUGGAGUAUGUGCAUACCAGUAAUUAGAAGGUGCAAAGUAAGAAACAGAGCUCAUAUAAAUUAUUCCAUAGCAUUCAUUAUUUAUUUGGCCAUUUAUAGCUGUGCAAAAUUUACUGAGAAAAUAUGUACAUUAAUUAAUACAUACAUUACAAUUUCAUUAGUCUUACUGCAUUUUUUUUCAACAACAAAAGAUACUUAGGAUUUGGUGUGUGAACAUCUAGGAAGGUUUGGCUCAUGUCUUUUAAAUAAUUGAAAUCUAACAAAGAGUUCUCUGACUGGCAUCCAGGAGGAGCUGCUUGUGGGCAGCCUUCUGCUGGCCUACAUAAGCAAUGGGAAAGAUGUUUUAUCAAAAGCUGCUGGGUUUCCUGAGACAAUCUGAGAGACCACUUUUUUGGCUGUGUUGUACAACUACUGGUGUUUGAUUUAGUGUUGAACAAGAGAGAAUCCAACAUUUCAGGCCCUUUGCUUUAACUUCCUAUAGCAGAAGGGUCAGUAGGGGAGCAUGGGUGCAGUUGGCAGGGUGGUGUCACUGCACAUCCUUGGCCAACGCAUGCCCGGUGGCUGAGGCCCAGGUCAAGGCCAUGGAGAAGACAGACAGAGGGGUCCUGGGGGCAUUGUUGGCCCCUGCUCCCAGCCCCACAGACUUCUCUCAAGGCUUCUGUGAAGUCAUUCCACUUUCAGUAGAGUGAGUCUGAAAAAGUCGUGUACAUCAACACCGAUGCACAACUCAAACGAUGGGGAAUUUUUUGUGCCAAGUGGAUUAAAAAAAUAAAAACAAAAUGCAAAUUAUUUUGUAGUUUGGAAGAGGAACGUUUUUAAUCAACACCAUAAAACUGGUGUCUGCUCACCUUUCUUACACCAUUAAUGUGUCCACGGGAUGAUGCACCAGGAGAUUUCCACAUGAGCAAACUCCACUCAGUGUAAAAAGGCUGCAGAUCCACCCUGCAAUUUAGUGGUUCAGCUCACGCAUAAAAGCUGUUAUCUGGGGGUUUAAUUAUUAAACAAAAGUGGAACUUCAGCUUUUGGAGAAAGGAGCUUCCUCCCUUUGCAGAUUCUAGCUGAGGGCUUCCUCACUUGGCAAUACUGAAGAGGAUUUUGCUAUGUCCACUUAAGACAACAGCCUCUGAGACGUGUGCCCCGUGGGAGCCUCACAGACAGCAGCAUAUUCAGAGAACAUUGUAUCUUGGACAGAGACAAUAAACUAUUAAUGGAGAAUAAUUCAUCUCACGAACCCUAAGUGUGUGUUUUGGAUUGUGAAUUGCUAACAGAACUUGUGAUGAAAGCUUGCUGUUAACUCUCAUAAUUCCUGCUAGUCCAGAAGCCUGGCAAGUUCCUGGUCAGAGAGGUAAUUUGGGUGGACAUUGCCAACCUGCUCUGUAUUGUUGGCUCAUUUCUCAUGGUUCUCCCUGUUCUGCAUGCCCACACGAACAGCCUGCUAAGGGACACACCAGCACUGGAUAUCCUGUCUCCAGCGUACCUUAAUCAUGUUUGAUUAUGUGCCCUUCCUGCUCCUGCUAAUGAACUUUGAGUGCCUGGCU